rnacentral:rRNA from 1 species
UUUCCUACGGGGCGCAGCAGUGAGGAAUAUUGGUCAAUGGACGAGAGUCUGAACCAGCCAAGUAGCGUGAAGGAUGACUGCCCUAUGGGUUGUAAACUUCUUUUAUAUGGGAAUAAAACAGGGUAUGCAUACCCUCUUGUAUGUACCAUAUGAAUAAGGAUCGGCUAACUCCGUGCCAGCAGCCGCGGUAAUACGGAAGGUCCGGGCGUUAUCCGGAUUUAUUGGGUUUAAAGGGAGCGUAGGCCGGCUUUUAAGUCAGCUGUGAAAGUCCGCGGCUCAACCGUGGAAUUGCAGUUGAAACUGGG